GUGCUCACAUCAGCAGCACAUGCACUAAAUUUGGAACGAUACAGAGAAGAUUAGCAUGGGCCCUGCGCAGGGAUGACACGUGAACUCGUGAAGCAUCCCAUAUUUUA